GGUUCCCCCUGUACUCACCUGUGUGCAGAGGGCAGGCAGUAGUGGCACAAACCAAGAACGUUGGCAAGUCUGAUAAUAAUUUAAUUGUAAAAUCAUGUUACAUACACUUAUCAUUUCUUUAUCUUGCUUAAAUUCACAGGGUGCAAAACAAGGCCCGGGAGAGAAAAUUACGGUGAUGUCCACAAAUCCAAAGCAGAGAAGGUAAGGAGCACACUAUACAAAGACAACAGUGGAGAGCUGCUGAUUCUGUCUGUCCUCAAAGUGCCAGAGAUCUACAAGGACUUCACCCCUGUUUCUGCACCAUCACCUGCAUAAUCCAAGUGAUAAAAGAGAGAACAAACUAUUGUGUUCUCUGCUUACAUGAAUAGGUGCCUGUAAUGUCUGCCCACAUAUACAAUCAAUUCAAUAAAUGUUGAUAAGUAUCACUGAUAUUUCUUAAA